GACAAGAAAUAACAAUACAGGACCUUACGGUUUUGUAAUUGGAAUGAGUUAAGUAUAAACCCCUUAACAAGUAUCAAUUGGAGGGCAAGUCUGGUGCCAGCAGCCGCGGUAAUUCCAGCUCCAAUAGCGUAUAUUAAAGUUGUUGCAGUUAAAAAGCUCGUAGUUAAUCUUCUGUUAAUUUUUAUAUAUAAUAUCACGAUAUUUAUAUAAUAUUAACAUAAUUCAUAUUACUUUUUAGUAUAUGAAACUUUACUUUGAGAAAAUUAGAGUGCUUAAAGCAG
rnacentral:rRNA from 1 species